AAAAACCCAUCGACUCACCAUUGGGCCACACGAGUCUCUCUUUGUCUUUCUGAGUUCUGAGAGAGAGAGAUAGAGCAGAUGAAUUCGGAAGCAAUGGGGACGCCAUCAAAGCCAAGGCCUCCUGGUGUGGUUGAGGCUGUGGAGGAGAUGAUGAGGAUCUACAGGUCCCUGCCACCAAGACCUUCCAUAGAGGAAGUGGAGGCAGCCAUGGCUGUGAUCAGAACUGCAGACAGUGAAGAGGAGGCGAGGAUUGCGGAAAUUGGCAAGAUCCAGAAGCCCCCGGAUGUUCCAGAGGAGCUCUUCCUUGUGCUGCAGGAGGUGAGGAACAACUUGAUCCUGUUGCAGGGCCAGGAGCAGAGGAGGGAGGCCAUGACUGUGGUGGAGCUGGAUAAGAGGUUCCAGGUGUUUGACGAGCUCAUACAGAGGGCUUCCGAGCUGGUCUCAUCAGAGGAAGGUGGAGGAGUCUGUGAGGAGAAGGAAUUCAAGGCUGAUUUUAACGUGGAGGUGCCUAGAAUUGGUAGGAGUUUGAGUUUGGUCAAGGAGGAGACGGAUGAGAAGGGGGAACAAGAUGUUUCCCAUGUGCUUGUUCAUUCCUUCACAAAGUCUCAAGUCCCUUCAGCUAAUGGUGACACAAAAAAGUUAAGUCUCAUCCAAGUGGCAAGCUUAAUCGAGACUUCAGCAAAGAAAGGAAUUGGAAUUCUUGAUCUCCAGGGCAAGUUGAUGGACCAAAUUGAGUGGCUUCCAAACUCGCUUGGAAAACUGCAAGAUGUUGUUGAACUGAAUUUAUCGGAGAAUCGAAUCAUGGCACUUCCAACAUCUAUUGGAAGCCUGAGGUCCUUAAAAAAGCUUGAUAUCCACUCAAACCAGCUGAUAAACUUACCUGACUCAUUUGGAGAACUAUCCAAUUUGGUUGAUCUCGAUUUGCAUGCAAAUCGACUAAAAUCACUGCCUUCGACAUUUGGGACUCUUACGAGUCUGGCUAAUCUUGAUCUGAGUUCGAACCAGCUGUCUGUGCUCCCAGAGACAAUAGGAAACCUAACAAACUUGAGAAGCUUGAAUGUUGAGACAAAUGAACUGGAAGAGCUUCCUUACACUAUCGGGUCAUGUACUGCGCUCGUUGAGCUCAGACUGGACUUUAAUCAUUUAAAAGCACUGCCUGAGGCAGUUGGAAAGCUUGAAUGCUUGGAAAUCCUUAUAUUGCACUAUAAUAGAGUCAAAUCCUUACCGACCACUAUGGCUUCACUUUCUAAACUGAAAGAACUCGAUGUCAGCUUCAACGAGCUUGAGUCGAUACCCGAGAGCCUUUGUUUUGCCACUAGUCUAGUGAAGUUAGAUGUCGGAAGGAACUUUGCAGAUUUGACGGCAUUACCCCGAUCAAUUGGAAAUCUAGAGAUGCUAGAAGAGCUGGACAUAAGUAGCAACCAGAUAAGGACACUGCCUGAUUCUUUCAGACUUCUGUCAAAGCUUAGAGUGUUCAAUGCAGAUGAGACUCCACUGGAAGUACCACCAAGGCAUGUGGUUAAGCUGGGAGCUCAGGCUGUGGUUCAGUACAUGGCCGAUUUGGUUUCAGGGAGGACGGCGAAUGUUGAACAGGCAAGAAGGCCAAGGGGAUUCUGGUUUUGGCUGUGCUCAUUAUGUACGACUUCGGAGGAAGAAUGAAAAGGCAGGCAUCGCAUCCAUUAGAAAACAGGAACCACCCCCCAUGAUUCCUUCUGGUCCUUGUACAUUGGUUUUGUUCUACUAUGCAAAUGCUACCUGUGAGGUGUGUGCAUUCCAAGCCUCCGGAAUUCUCUUCAGCUCGCUGGUAGCUUCUACAUGACACCACGUUGUUACAUUGCUUGGGAGCUUAGUGGUCCAUUGAGUCUGCAGAGAAGCUUUGGCAUCUUUCACUCAUUUGGUGCAGACAGUGAUGUUUUGUAAUGAGCAGCUCAGCCAUGGCUGUGUGUGUUUUCUUUGUUUUUCAGCAAAGGAAUUUUUUAUUUUAACUGAAAAUAAAGAUUCUGUGAGUGGUGUCGGAUCUCUGUCAUCGACCAAACUUUUGUGUCUGUCUUUUUAGAACUCAAGAAAAUAGUUGUACAAGCCUAUAGAACAUAUCUUCUUGUUCGAAUGAGU